GGUCAUAGCCCUUAGUCCUUGGGACCUCACUGUGACUGCACACCUACCCUGGGUGACAGCCUCUCUGGGCUGUUGUCUCCUUGUCCCGGUCACAGUCUCCUUUGAGAAUUUGACAAAAGCCAUGAGCCUUUCUGAAGAAAAAAGGCAGCGAUACAAUUUUGCUUAUAACCUCAGGGAGUUUCUGGGGUCCCUGAAGUACAACCGUGGACCCCAAGCUAAGAAUCUCAAAGGCCUUUCCCAGCGUUGUGAUUCUAAUCUCUUCAGCCUUCCUGGCUGUGUGUGGUGUGUCUGCUGACACCUACACACUAGAUACCUAUCUAUGGGUUAUGACCUUUUCUUCUGGCAUGUACUCCAAAAAUACAAUAACCAUGGCCUUAGUAGUCUG
ensembl:lncRNA novel transcript, antisense to TOM1